CCAUGUGGAAACCCAGACCACCUGGAGAAACCAUGCACAGGUGUUGUGGUUGACAUCACCCAGCUACACGCUCAGCUUCAGCCAACAUCAGCUGCCAGGAAUGUGACAGAAGUAGGCUCCAGAUGAUUCCAGCCCCCAGUGUCUAAAUCUUCCAACUGAGAACCCAGCCAUCAAGGAUCAGAAGUUGUCUACAACUCUCAAGAAGGGACUGAGGGUCUCCUGCAGGGUCCCAGUGCGGCAGAAGCCACCAGGCGAUACUAAUGGCAGGAAGCCAGUGAAGAGAACAAGGAAAGGACCCUCCCUCGCAAAUAGUGUGAGACCCCAGAAGGAGGGAACUUAGGAAAUGACAUGCUCCUCCUAUUCGGAAUCCUGGGCCACAUGGAUGUGGGGGUGAAUGUCACCUCUGAGGUGGACUCAGGCUCCGCUGGUGCUCUUGCACCCACCCCCAUGACCCCUUUCCCCUGGGGCUGCAACAGAAGAUAUCUCUUCAAUUCCUGUCCCCUUUGUUCCUGUUCUGGAGUCAGGUCAUAUUGGAGCUGUGAAUAAAAACAUCAAGCUUGUCUCAGAGAUUUGCUACACCGAUGGGUUGGAACCUUGGGAGAGUCACUUACAUCUCUGGCUUUCAGCAUCAUCAUCUGAAAAACAAAUUAAUUUUCGAGUUUAUUAAUUGAGUUAAUUCUCGAGUUUAUGAAGUACAU